rnacentral:rRNA from 1 species
UACAGAGGGGGCAAGCGUUGUUCGGAAUUACUGGGCGUAAAGGGCGCGUAGGCGGCCCGCUAAGUCGAACGUGAAAUCCCCGAGCUCAACUCGGGAACUGCGUCCGAUACUGGUGGGCUUGAAUCCGGGAGAGGGAUGCGGAAUUCCAGGUGUAGCGGUGAAAUGCGUAGAUAUCGGAAGGAACACCAGUGGCGAAAGCGGCUUCCUGGUCCAGCACCGACGUUCAGGCACGAAAGCGUGGGGAGCAAACGGG